CGUGAACGCUGGCGGUAGGCCUAACACAUGCAAGUCGAACGGCAGCACAGUAAGAGCUUGCUCUUACGGGUGGCGAGUGGCGGACGGGUGAGGAAUACAUCGGAAUCUACUUUUUCGUGGGGGAUAACGUAGGGAAACUUACGCUAAUACCGCAUACGACCUACGGGUGAAAGCAGGGGAUCUUCGGACCUUGCGCGAUUGAAUGAGCCGAUGUCGGAUUAGCUAGUUGGCGGGGUAAAGGCCCACCAAGGCGACGAUCCGUAGCUGGUCUGAGAGGAUGAUCAGCCACACUGGAACUGAGACACGGUCCAGACUCCUACGGGAGGCAGCAGUGGGGAAUAUUGGACAAUGGGAGCAAGCCUGAUCCAGCCAUACCGCGUGGGUGAAGAAGGCCUUCGGGUUGUAAAGCCCUUUUGUUGGGAAAGAAAAGCAGCAGGUUAAUACCCCGCUGUUCUGACGGUACCCAAAGAAUAAGCACCGGCUAACUUCGUG
rnacentral:rRNA from 1 species